GACGAACGCUGGCGGCGUGCUUAACACAUGCAAGUCGAACGAAGUGGCGAACGGGUGAAUAAUACGUGGGUAACCUGCCCUCCUUUUUGGGAUAAGCCUUGGUAACGGGGCAUACUACCGAAUAACGGGGGAUGGUCUCGCGGCCUAUCAGCUUGUUGGUGGGGUGCUGGCCUAACAAGGCGUUGACGGGUAGCCGGCUUGAGCAGGUGAACGGGCACUGGGGGACUGAGAUAAGGCCCAGACGCGUACGGGGGGGGGCAGUGUGGGAUAUUGCACAAUGGGCGAAAGCCUGAUGCAGCGUCGCUGCGUGGGGGAUGAAGGCUUUCGGGUUGUAAACCUCUGUCGCUAGCGAACGGGUAGGUGGAGAAUAAGCGCCGGCUAACUACGUGCCAGCAGCCGCGGUAAUUC
rnacentral:rRNA from 1 species